ACAGUCACAGGCACAGGCAGACAGUCACACACACACGCGGUUACAGGCAGACAGUCACACAUGCUCAGUUACAGCCAGACAGUCACAGAGCCAAACACACAGUUAAAGGCAGACAGUCACACACAGUUACAGGCAGACAUUCACACAUACUCAAUUACAAGCAGACAGUCAUACACACUCUGCUACAGGCAUGCAGACACUCACGUACGCUGAUAGGCACACACACUCAGUUAAAGGCAGAUAGUCACACAUACAGGCACAGGCACACAACGGCACAGCUACAGCGACACACGCAAUUGGAGUCACACACAGUCAGACAGUCACACACACACACAGGCAGACUGUCACACACACAGACAGAGUGUCACACACACACACAUACACACAGAGGAAGGCAGUCACACAGACAGUCACAUACAGGCCGGCAGACAGUCUCUCACACACACACACACAGAGGCAGGCAGUUACACACACCCAGGCAAACAGUCACACACAGGCAGUCAGAGAGUC